GUGCUGUAUGAGAGGGGUGUUUAGCAAUCCCCUAGGCAAGAACUGAAGAGGCCAGGGAGCCUAGCAACACCCACGGCUGAGGUAUCGUCCCCUAUUUAAACAGGUUAUAAAAUACCUUUCU